rnacentral:rRNA from 1 species
AGUCCAGGUGGUCGCCUUCGCCACUGGUGUUCCUUCCUAUAUCUACGCAUUUCACCGCUACACAGGAAAUUCCACCACCCUCUACCGUACUCUAGCUUGCCAGUUUUGGAUGCAGUUCCCAGGUUGAGCCCGGGGCUUUCACAUCCAACUUAACAAACCACCUACGCGCGCUUUACGCCCAGUAAUUCCGAUUAACGCUUGCACCCUCUGUAUUACCGCGGCUGCUGGCACAGAGUUAGCCGGUGCUUAUUCUGUCGGUAACGUCAAAACAGCAAGGUAUUAACUUACUGCCCUUCCUCCCAACUUAAAGUGCUUUACAAUCCGAAGACCUUCUUCACACACGCGGCAUGGCUGGAUCAGGCUUUCGCCCAUUGUCCAAUAUUCCCCACUGCUGCCUCCCGUAGGAGUCUGGACCGUGUCUCAGUUCCAGUGUGACUGAUCAUCCUCUCAGACCAGUUACGGAUCGUCGCCUUGGUGAGCCAUUACCCCACCAACUAGCUAAUCCGACCUAGGCUCAUCUGAUAGCGCAAGGCCCGAAGGUCCCCUGCUUUCUCCCGUAGGACGUAUGCGGUAUUAGCGUUCCUUUCGAAACGUUGUCCCCCACUACCAGGCAGAUUCCUAGGCAUUACUCACCCGUCCGCCGCUGAAUCAAGGAGCAAGCUCCCGUCAUCCGCUCGACUUGCAUGUGUUAGGCCUGCC